ACCGAACAGGGCAAACCCGCCGCGAGGCGGGGACGCAAAGUUUCCGGCCUCGAUCACGCUCCCCUGCAGAUCGAGGUAGCGGGACUGCCGGUA
rnacentral:ncRNA from 1 species